rnacentral:tRNA from 1 species
UUUGGUAGAAGCCAAAAAGAGGCUUGUCACUGUUAAUGACAAAACUGAAAAUUUUUCCUUCCAA